rnacentral:rRNA from 1 species
UUAAAACCAACUCUGACACAGAUAAUAAAAAAAUAUAAGCUAAUAAACAUUUAAACCUACUUCUACCACUUUAACUUUUGUCAAAGGGGUUUUUGGUUGGGGCAACCGCGAAGAAAAAAUAACCUUCGCCACAAAAUAAAAGACUAAACAAAUCUAACAACUAUAAAUAGUUUAAAAAUGAUCCGGUUAAACCGAUCAAGGGAAAAAGUUACCGCAGGGAUAACAGCGUUAUUCUUUCUGAGAGCUCUUAUUGACGAAAGAGUUUGCGACCUCGAUGUUGGACCGGGGCACCCAAGAGGUGCAGCAGCCUCUAAUGGUAGGUCUGUUCGACCUUUAAAGCCCUACGUGAUCUGAGUUCAGACCGACGCAA